CCCAAAGACACAACAAUGAGGUUUGGAUGAGAGAAAACGUGGAAUAGAGUGAAAAUGAUAGGUUCUAUUUUACUUGUAUAGAAAUAGUUUGAAUUGUUUGGAUUCUGAGAGGGUUUUGUGAAAGAAAGUGUUUGUGAUGGAUUCAAACCUGACGACAUGACACUCAAGUUUUAAGUUCUAUUUUGGUUCGGUUUAACAUGAAGGAAUUGGUCAUUGUUCUUGGCCAAGUCAACUAUAACGAACAGCGCACUACCGCUAACCAGAAUAGAAAGAGGAGUGGAGGCCCCGGUGCACAGCUGAGGAAGAGGACAAGUACAUUAGAGUGUCUAGUUUGAGAAACAGACCCCUCACAAGUCCUCAACUGGCAGCUUCAUUAAAUAGUACCCCGCAAAACAGUCUCAACGUCAACAGGGAAGAGGCGACUCCAGGAUGCAAUGACUUUUCUAAGUGACCUUAAACUUUUGAACGGUAGUGUAUAUAUACAGUACCAGUCAAAAGUUUGGACACACCUACACAUUCAAGGGUUUUUCUUUAUUUGUACUAUUUUCUACAUUGCAGAAUAAUAGUGAAGGGAUCAAACUAUGAAAUAACACAUAUGGAAUCAUGUAGUAACAAAAAGAGUGUUCAACAUAACAAAAUAUAUUUUAUAUUUGAGAUUCUAAAAGUAGCCAACCUUCGCUUUGAUGACAGCUUUGCACACUAUUGGCAUUCUCUCAACCAGCUUCACCUGAAAUGCUUUUCCAACCGUCUUGAAGUUCCCACAUAUGCUGAAUAUUUGUUGGCUGCUUUUCCUUCACUCUUUGGUCCAACUCAUCCCAAAUCAUCUCAAUUGGGUUGAGGUUGGGUGAUUGUGGAGGCCAGGUCAUCUGAUGUAUCAUUAAGAUUUUGCUUGUGCUUAGCUAUAUUCCAUUUAUUUUUAUCCUAAAAAAAAUUGCCUGAUGACAAACAUACCCAUAACAUUAUGCAGCCACCACAAUGCUUGAAAAUAUGAAGAGUGGUACUCAGUGAUGUGAUGUGUUGGAUUUUCCCCAAAUAUAACACUUUGUAUUCAGGACAGAAAGUUAAUUUCUUCGUAACAAUUUUUGCAGUUUUACUUUAGUGCCUUAUUGCAAACAGGAUGGCAUAUUUUGGAAUAUUUUUUAUUCUGUACAAGCUUCCUUCUUUUCACUCUGUCAUUUAGGUUAGUAUUGUGGAGUAACUACAAUGUUGUUGAUCCAUCCUCAGUUUUUUCCUAUCACAGCCAUUAAAUUCUGUAACUAUUUCAGUCACCAA